GGGGCUGUCUUCAAUUAUUCUGAUCUGAAAUUGUAGAUGAUGUGUUUUUUUUUUCUCAGGGCUUGCUCAAUCUGAAGAGCCAGUUCAGAUCAACUUAACCAAGUCCUUCAAGCAAGAGAAUUAAAGCAGGUUGACUGAAAAAUGAGGCUGCUCGAGGACACAAAGUGAACAUAAUUUCACGGUUCCUGGAGCAUUCAGGACAGCUUUGUCACUUAUCCUCCUCCAGAGAAGACAGCUGCUGGCUCAGGAGGCUGUUCUGACUGGAUGCUAGUUUCGCUGCCCUUGUUUUUGAAAAGGAGGUACCAGAGCAGUUGUUCUCCUGCAGACACCCACAGGGGUGGAAAAGCAUUGGCCUGAUCCAGGGAACACCGUGGAAAACCUGCGCGGGGAUCCCUACUGCCAACUGUCCCCAGACCUAUGUGCAGCAACCUUCAGAAAUCCCUAGAGAUGCCAUGUGAGCCCAGAUGAAACAACCUCAGCUGUUGUCCAUUUUAAAAAUACUACCUUCCACCUCUUUGGACUGAAAAACCAAAACAAGAUUUGUUAAAAUGUGAA